rnacentral:rRNA from 1 species
UAAGACGGAGGGCGCAAGCGUUGUUCGGAAUUACUGGGCGUAAAGCGCGGGCAGGUGGCCCGUUAAGUCUGCGGUGAAAUCCCGGGGCUCAACUCCGGAUAUGCCGCGGAUACUGGCGGGCUAGAGACUGGUAGAGGCGAGUGGAAUUCCAGGUGUAGCGGUGGAAUGCGUAGAUAUCUGGAAGAACACCGGUGGCGAAGGCGGCUCGCUGGGCCAGUUCUGACACUCAUCCGCGAAAGCGUGGGGAGCAAACAGGAUUAGAUACCCUGGUAGUCCACGCCGUAAACGAUGGGCACUAGAUGCCGGGUCUAUAGACGGAUUCGGUGUCGCAGCUAACGCAUUAAGUGCCCCGCCUGGGGAGUACGGCCGCAAGGCUG